rnacentral:pre_miRNA from 1 species
AGCUCCCGUCUCCUCUGUGCUGAGUCACAAGGAUCGCAGCUCGAGGAAGCUGGAGAUGA